AUUUAGGAAUUGUCUCAUACUUUUGAUUUGUAUCCUGAGUUCUUCUCACCAUGCCAGAAACAUAAUCACAUUAUCUGAUUCGAAUAUAAGAAGGAAUGGAUAAAUUUAUGCUGAAAGAAUCAAGAGUGUUUUUAUGGAAGAUCUUUCAUCUGAGUUUUAGAAUGGAUAAUUUCAACAAGCAGCGAUCAAAGGAGCAUGCUGACUCAACAUUCUCCUGGGAUCUAGAAAGAGACCAAAAAUCCAGAAGCCCUAGAAUUUCCUCUUUCAAAAAAUUCUCACAUCCACACUCAGGGUGUAUUGCUACUGUAACAGAAGAAUAAAGUAUUCCAUACACUGUCCAUGUGGUGCACAGAUUGGCAGUAUGGGCAGGAGAUAUGGAAAGAACCAUCCCAAAUAAGAAACCAGUACCUCCAUCCUGGCUUUCCUAGCUAUGAAAACUGGCCUGGUCCAAUUCUUACAAGGUUAUAAACAACUGAGAGUAUUUAUAUGUCACAUGUAAGAGAAAGGAUGAAUUCAAAUAACCCUUCCCUUUGUAAACCUUGAAAUUUCUUAGACUUGUGAAAGUUGGAAAUUUCACCAUUGGAAAGCUUCAUACUUGGAAAAAAAUUUCCUACUGAUAGUAAGAACCCCCUUGGCAUGGGAGGAUCCUUCUCCCUACUUGGGACUGCUUUAGGACAGAAACCUUUUGCUGAACAAUGGAAAGGGCUUUGACCUAUGCUUAAGCAUAGAACAGGAAAUUCUUUGAGUCAUGAUUGAUUUUAGAAUUGAUACAAUAGAUACAAUACUUGGAAUGACAGAACCAGGUCUUGGAAAAUGCAAUUUCCACCCUACUUAGAGUAACAGGAUUUAGGAAGGGCUGCAGCAAAGGAUCAAGAUUUAAUUAUUUGAGAAUAUGACCUUCAACAGACAUGUGCAAAGGGGCAGACCUCUGGGCGGUCCUGGGUUAAGCUAGAGCCACCAUUGGCACAGGUUUCCUUAAAGAUAGCGGGGUCUGAGGACUGAGGGGGUUGGAAAGGUUUUGCUCUGAGAGGUUGUGCUCUGAGAAGUUUUGCUCUGAAGGAGGCUGGAGGUGGAGGCCCCUGAGACUGUUUCUCCAUUUUGGUCACAUGAGUGAUAGGGACUGAUCUCUUUUCUUUGCCUCAACUAUCUAAGGGCUUGGGCCUUUUAGCCCAGCCUAAACAGAGGGGGUAUUUAAGCCCUAUUCCUCUCUCUCUCUCUCUCUCUCUAUCUAUCUAUCUCUAAUACCUUUCUUCCUCCUGUUUGUAAUUAAAACCUCCAUAAAAGGUUGACUGCUGACUUGAGUUUCAUUUAGGAAUUACAUAGCUGAAUUCCUUGGCGACCUUAAAUUAAUAUAUAUCAGUCUUUUAAAGUGAUUUCCUUGUCACACCUUAUACUACCACCCUGUCAUUUCAAGGUUCAUUAACAUACACAACUGUAAUGCUUUGAGUAGAAAAUCUGGAUUUGACUCUUAGUACCAACACUGACUCGCUGUGUUACCUUAACCCAAUUAGUUAGCCUCCCUGAGGCUUAGAUUCUUCACCUAAAAAAUGGGGCUAAUGAUAAAUGUAACCUCCAUUAUAGGAUAAUAUAUGUUAAAAAACACUUGAUGAAUUUGAUCUAAAGCUAUAUAUUGUUAAUAAAAUCUAACAUUUCCCUGAGCUACCCA
ensembl:lncRNA